rnacentral:rRNA from 1 species
UGGCGGACGGGUGAGUAACGCGUGGGUAACCUGCCUCAUACAGGGGGAUAACAGUUAGAAAUGACUGCUAAUACCGCAUAAGACCACAGUGCCGCAUGGCACAGGGGCCAAAGCCUUGACGGUAUGAGAUGGACCCGCGUCUGAUUAGGUAGUUGGUGGGGUAACGGCCUACCAAGCCGACGAUCAGUAGCCGACCUGAGAGGGUGACCGGCCACAUUGGGACUGAGACACGGCCCAAACUCCUACGGAAGGCAGCAG